rnacentral:rRNA from 1 species
GACGAACGCUGGCGGCGUGCUUAACACAUGCAAGUCGAACGGUGAUCCCAGGAGCUUGCUUCUGGGUGAGCAGUGGCGAACGGGUGAGUAACACGUGAGUAACCUGCCCCUGACUCUGGAAUAAGCGCUGGAAACGGCGUCUAAUACCGGAUACGAGACGCAACCGCAUGGUUAGUGUCUGGAAAGUUUUUCGGUCUGGGAUGGACUCGCGGCCUAUCAGCGUGUUGGUGGGGUAAUGGCUCACCAAGGCGAUGACGGGUAGCCGGCCUGAGGGGGCGAUCGGCCACACUGGGACUGAGACACGGCCCAGACUCCUACGGGAGGCAGCAGUGGGGAAUAUUGCACAAUGGGCGAAAGCCUGAUGCAGCGACGCCGCGUGAGGGAUGACGGCCUUCGGGUUGUAAACCUCUUUCAGCAGGGAAGAAGCGCAAGUGACGGUACCUGCAGAAGAAGCACCGGCUAACUACGUGCCAGCCGCCGCGGUAA